AUCCAUCUGACGAUUCCUAAGUAGGACGAAACGCGCGUCUAGCUGGAU
rfam:Schistosoma margrebowiei strain Zambia genome assembly, scaffold: SMRZ_scaffold0000007